rnacentral:rRNA from 1 species
GGCAAGCCAAAAAGGAGUAACACACGGUCUUGUCGCUGCGAGUGCCCUGCAAUGAUACGGUUGCUGCGGUCGAACGACAACGGCUGGCACAUAAGCGAGCACAGGCCAUCGCACAACAAUUUCUUCGGUUCAACGAGCAAUGCGCCUUUCAGCAAAAGGGCCUUGAGGGGACUGUGUGGGGAAAUCAUCAGAGAUUAGCUUCAGUUUGUUCAACAUAAUAUAUCAUCUUAUGUUAUUUGAGACAAUUAGUACCAUCUAAUGGUGGCUACGCAUGUUCUUCGAUAUUAC